rnacentral:rRNA from 1 species
GGUUAAGCGACUAAGCGUACACGGUGGAUGCCCUGGCAGUCAGAGGCGAUGAAGGACGUGCUAAUCUGCGAAAAGCGUCGGUAAGGUGAUAUGAACCGUUAUAGCCGGCGAUGUCCGAAUGGGGAAACCCAGUGUGAUUCGUCACACUAUCGUUAACUGAAUACAUAGGUUAACGAGGCGAACCGGGGGAACUGAAACA